rnacentral:rRNA from 1 species
UACGAGGGAUGCAAGCGUUAUCCGGAAUUAUUGGGCGUAAAGCGUUCGUAGGUGGCUAGGUUAGUCUGUUGUUAAAACGUGGAGCUUAACUCCAUAACGGCAAUGGAAACUGCCUGGCUAGAGUAUGGUAGGGGUAAGAGGAAUUCCCAGUGUAGCGGUGAAAUGCGUAGAUAUUGGGAAGAACACCAGCGGCGAAAGCGUCUUACUGGGCCAUUACUGACACUGAGGGACGAAAGCUAGGGGAGCGAAAGGG